ACUGGACACUUUUAAGAUUCAGCUGGACGGGGUGCUGGAACAUCUUGUCUAGACUGCGCUGUUGCCAAGAAAGGCUGGACCAGGUGAUCCUUGUGGUCCCUUCCAACCCAGGAUUCCGUGAUUCUACGAUAUCAGACCUUCUAGAAGUGGCCCAUGGACAACUCAGGAGACUAAACUGUCCCUCUGAUCCCUUCUGCAUAUCUAACCAAUACACUUACAAGCAAGCUCUGGCUCCUGCAUUACGAACUGCCCUGACUGGUAAGCCCUACAAGAUUCUGCAAUAAUUGCUUGGCUGUGGCUUGAUACAGGUAAGAAGAAAUACAGCUUCAGCAGCCCUUCUGGGCAGAGUGCUUGGACUAGGUGUGGAAGGUGACGUCUCUAUAAUUACACAGCUUUCUUCCAUUUGAAAUUAUUCUGCCAUGUUUUCUUCCUGCUGAGGAGAG